UACGUAGGGUGCGAGCGUUGUCCGGAAUUAUUGGGCGUAAAGAGCUCGUAGGCGGUGUGUCACGUCGUUCGUGGAAACCUGCAGCUUAACUGUGGGCGUGCGGUCGAUACGGGCAUCACUGGAGUUCGGCAGGGGAGACUGGAAUUCCUGGUGUAGCGGUGAAAUGCGCAGAUAUCAGGAGGAACACCGGUGGCGAAGGCGGGUCUCUGGGCCGAUACUGACGCUGAGGAGCGAAAGCAUGGGGAGCGAACAGG
rnacentral:rRNA from 1 species